UGUUAAAAAUUUCAUCCAUUUUUACUAUUAAAACCCAGUGUGGCUGAUGAAAUAACAAGACAAUGAUAUGUGGCAUACGACAUGUACAUCAUGCUAAUGCACAUGAAUCAGUUUUUAAUAGUAGAAAUAGAUAGAAAUUUUUAACA
rfam:Gossypium hirsutum cultivar TM-1 chromosome 1, whole genome shotgun sequence